UUCCCUUCAAACAAGGGACAGUCUUCCAUUUCACCUGCAGAAUUCAUUACUUCCUAUGUAAAGACCAUUCCUUCCACAGUUGUAAGUCAGUAAUUAUAUUUGCCUUUUAUAGUGUGAGGCAUCAGGAAUAAGAAAGAACUUUAUUUUUCCAAAGUCAAGCAGGUUCUUUUUUAAAUCUGCAACUUCUCUGAGUUAAUACACACAAAAAGACUUAAGAGGAAUUCAUUUGUCUGUGCAUCAGAGAAAGAGUACUGGUGCUACCCAGCUGUACUCCUUUGCUGCUGACAGUGGUAGCUUUAGACUGGGUAGCGAGGAGGGACUUACGCUGGUCACCCGGCGGUAGAUCUGCGCAGCAUUUUGGCACUCGGAAUAAGGAUACUCAGACGUGGCCAUCUCUAGCAUACACAUCCCAAAAGCAUACACAUCAACGGAUUCAUCAUAUUUCUCCUCAUACAUCUCGGGGGCCAUGAACUCUGGGGUACCUUAAAUUAAAAGAACGAUUCAGACUCUAAAUGGCUCAAAGCGAGCAGAGGCUGCUGGCGUUACUCACCGCAGGAGGGAGCGGAUGGGCAGACCUGUGAGACAAGAGAAAGUGGAGGCAAAAAGAAGAGGGAGGAAACCCUUAGUGACUCUGUUGCAUCAACACACUCUGUGAGUCUUCCAUUGCAAGGCCUUUGUGUGUGGAGUAAGAAUGGUGUGAAAGGACUGAUGCAAUUCCUGGUUUGGGUAUGGGAGUUGAUACAAGUAUCAAAACAGACUGGAUUAGCCUGAAAUCAAAUGGGAGGGGAGGGGAUAGGAAGAGGGAAAACUGCAGACUAGCCAUAGGCUGCAAACCAAAUACUAAGGAGAGUUAAGACACUUACCUUUUCUCCCUGUAAGAAAAAAGGCACAUUAAACCUUGUUUCAAAAAUUACCCGACUGCCCCCUGCUGCAAAAGAAGUAGUACUGGUAAGAGCCCACAGCUAGUCUCUGACCCGGUGCUCUCCAUCUACUUUUUUAAGUAGAAUGGUUCACGUAAGGCCUUGCAAUGAAAAACUCUAUGUUGUUACAAAUAUAAAUCUCCGUGAAAAGAGGAUAAAAGGUAAUUUUCUGCAAAGGCCACUCACCAGAGCCCUUUUCUUCAUAUACUUACCUUCCCACCUGCAGUAUAUUUAUAGGCCUACUGCAGAUACAGGCAUUAGUGAGGGACAUCCUACAGUCAAAAAUACUCAGAAAUACAGAGAGAUUGAGUUACAGGAAUAGAGCGUGAGAUUCAACAAGUCCCAUUUAAAUAGUGUGCAGAACAUUAUUGCCCAGUGAAGCAUCACAGCAACCCCUCUGAAAACAAAGAGGCUGCAUUGUUUGAUCAGAUUUACUUUAAGCCAGAGAUGUAAGUUUGCUUUUUGUAAAUUUAAGCACAGAAUUAUUUCCUGCAGACACCAGAUUCAAAACAAUUUACAGAUCAUUCUAUAGCCACAUUGCUUGUUUUUACCACACUAAAUCAAAAAAAGAGAAUGUAAUUGCAGGCAUUUAUCCAAAGUCUAACCAUUGAUAGAUAACUAGAUGGUAAUUUUCCAAUGAUAAAUUUGAGAAUAUGACAAUUAUGCUUCAGAUUUUUUUUUUUUACACUAAACUUUGCUUUUCUGUUAAUACUUUGACCUGGUUAAGAAGCAGGAAAUAUUUCAGCAACAGCUUGCAGGACAAUUUACAGAUAGAGACCAUUGAUCCCAUCUAGGAAUCUGGCAUAGGACUGUUGAGUAAUGUUGCAUUUUAGCAAGCUCUAAAUAUUGAGAGUGAGAAAAACUUUGUUCCCUGCAGUCUAUUCAUCCAACUAUAAAAACAAAGCUGAUAAAACCAAUUCUUUUAAGAACUCACAAGGAAGACCCUGGUUUCUGAUUACUCACAAUCUGUAAGAGGUUUAAUAUGAACCCCUGGUGACAAU